rnacentral:rRNA from 1 species
GACGAACGCUGGCGGCGUGCUUAACACAUGCAAGUCGAACGGACAGGCCCUGCUUUUGUGGGGUGCUCGAGUGGCGAACGGGUGAGUAACACGUGAGUAACCUGCCCUUGACUUUGGGAUAACUUCAGGAAACGGGGGCUAAUACCGGAUAGGAGCUCCUGCUGCAUGGUGGGGGUGGGAAAGGGUCGGCGGUUGGGUGUGGACUCGCGGCUUCUCAGCUGGUUGGUGGGGUAGUGGCUUACCACGGCGUUGACGGGUAGCCGGCCUGAGAGGGGGGCCGGACCGAUUGGGACUGAGCUGCGGCCCAGACUCGUACGGGAGGCAGCAGUGGGGAAUAUUGCACAAUGGGAGGGAGCCUGAUGCAGCGACGCCGCGUGCGGGAUGACGGCCUUCGGGUUGUAAACCGCUUUCGCCUGUGACGAAGCGUGAGUGACGGUAAUGGGUAAAGAAGCACCGGCUAACUACGUG